AUGGCAUGCCUGGGUGCAGGCCCCAGCGGGACACAGGGUGGCGGUGGGGGCACCUUGAGUCCUGGGCUCCUUGCCUGCCUUAAGCGGCUUCCUCCUGCUUCAGGGCCUCGACCUCCGCCGGCCUCCUCCUCCCCAGCUCCCAGAGCAGCGCACCCACCGAGGGUGCUCCCGGCUGGCCAAGGGGGUGAAUGGAGCAGCGGGGACUCCCGGGUGAAGGGUCACCUUGGGGAGGAGUCCCGACACCUCCAUGACCCGCUCCAGUUCAGCAACAUCCCCAAGAUCGCGCGUCUGUACCGCGGACUGUGGGGCAGCGUGAUGGCGCCGAUGGUGGAGAAAGGCGCUGCGCACGCGGGCGCUGCUGCAGCCGGGGACCUCCUCAAAGGCUUCAAGAUGUUCAGCUCCCUCUUCAAGCCCUACAUCCGGUACUGCGUGGAGGAGGAGGGCUGCAUGGAGUACAUGCGCAGCCUGCUGCGCGACAAUGACCUCUUCCAGGCCUACGUGACGUGGGCCGAGAAGCACCAGCAGUGCCAGCGGCUGAAGCUGAGCGACAUGCUCGCCAAGCCCCACCAGCGGCUCACCAAGUACCCGCUGCUGCUCAAGUCGGUGCUGAGGAAGACGGACGAGCCACGUGCCAAGGAGGCCGUCAUCACCAUGAUCAGCUCCGUGGAGCGUUUCAUCCACCACGUGAAGGCGUGCGUGCGGCAGCGACAGGAGCGGCAGCAGCUGGCGGCCGUGGUGAGCCGCAUGAACGCCUACGAGGUGGUGGAGGGUAGCAACGACGAGGUGGACAAGCUCCUGAAGGAAUUUCUGCACCUGGACCUGACCGCGCCCAUCCCUGGUGCCUCCCCGGAGGAGACGCGUCAGCUGCUGUUGGAGGGCAGCCUGAGGAUGAAGGAGGGAAAAGACAGCAAGAUGGAUGUGUACUGCUUCCUCUUCACGGACCUGCUCUUAGUGACCAAGGCAGUGAAGAAGGCUGAGAGGACCAGGGUCAUCAGGCCACCACUGCUGGUGGACAAGAUCGUGUGCCGGGAGCUGCGGGACCCUGGCUCCUUCCUCCUCAUCUACCUGAACAAGUUCCACAGCGCCAUGGGGGCCUACACGUUCCAGGCCAGCGGGCAGGCUCUGUGCCAGGGCUGGGUGGACUCCAUUUACAAUUCCCAGAACCAGUUGCAGCAGCUGCAUGCGCAGGGGCACGCGGGCAGCCUGAAGCACCUGCAGAGCCUGGAGGAGGAGGAGGAGGAGGAGGAGGAGGAGCAGGAGGAUAAGGAGGAAGAUGAGGAGGAAGAGGAGGGUGGGGAGAGUAGUACUUCUGCCGCCAGCUCCCCCACCAUCCUGCACAAAAGCAGCAACAACCUGGACUCCCAGCACUGCGCCUCGGACGGCUCCACGGAGACCCUGGCCAUGGUGGUGCUGGAGCCCGGGGAGACGCUCUCCUCUCCCGAGUUCGAGGGCGGCCCCUUCAGCUCCCAGUUGGAUGAGAUGUCCCUCAGUACCACUGCCUCAUCUGUCACACCGACCAGCAAGCUGCUGGCCCUGGGCCCCGGGGACGGCAGCUCCUGCUCCAUGGACUCCGCCUACGGCACCCUCUCCCCCACCUCCUUGCAAGACUUUGCGACCCCAGCCCCUGUGGUGGAGCCAGUGCCCGGGCCCCUAGAUUUACCACAGGCCCCUUCACCCCCGCCCUCUCCCCGCCUCCGCUGCCGCACCCCUGUCCAGCUGCUGCCCCGCCUGCCCCACCUGCUCAAGUCCAAAUCUGAGGCCAGCCUCCUGCAGCUGCUGGCAGGGGCUGCCACCCAGGGGGCGCCCCCAGCCCCCAGCUGCAGCCUGUCAGAACUCUGCUUGGCUGCCACAGUCACCUGUGCAUCAGGACCACCCUGCUGCUUAACUCCCAGGCCCUGA